CAGUAGCCGCGGUAAUACAGAGGGUGCGAGCGUUAAUCGGAUUUACUGGGCGUAAAGCGUGCGUAGGCGGCUUUUUAAGUCGGAUGUGAAAUCCCUGAGCUUAACUUAGGAAUUGCAUUCGAUACUGGGAAGCUAGAGUAUGGGAGAGGAUGGUAGAAUUCCAGGUGUAGCGGUGAAAUGCGUAGAGAUCUGGAGGAAUACCGAUGGCGAAGGCAGCCAUCUGGCCUAACACUGACGCUGAGGUACGAAAGCAUGGGGAGCAAACAGGAUUAGAUACCCCAUAGUCCCUGUCUCUUAUACA
rnacentral:rRNA from 1 species